AUUGAACGCUGGCGGCAGGCUUAACACAUGCAAGUCGAGCGGGGUGAUGGUGCUUGCACUAUCACUUAGCGGCGGACGGGUGAGUAAUGCUUAGGAAUCUGCCUAUUAGUGGGGGACAACAUCUCGAAAGGGAUGCUAAUACCGCAUACGUCCUACGGGAGAAAGCAGGGGAUCACUUGUGACCUUGCGCUAAUAGAUGAGCCUAAGUCGGAUUAGCUAGUUGGUGGGGUAAAGGCCUACCAAGGCGACGAUCUGUAGCGGGUCUGAGAGGAUGAUCCGCCACACUGGGACUGAGACGCGGCCCAGACUCCUACGGGAGGCAGCAGUGGGGAAUAUUGGACAAUGGGGGGACCCCUGAUCCAGCCAUGCCGCGUGUGUGAAGAAGGCCUUAUGGUUGUAAAGCACUUUAAGCGAGGAGGAGGCUCUUUUGGUUAAUACCCAGGAUGAGUGGACGUUACUCGCAGAAUAAGCACCGGCUAACUCUGUGCCAGCAGCCGCGGUAACAC
rnacentral:rRNA from 1 species